AGCGAACGCUGGCGGCAGGCUUAACACAUGCAAGUCGAGCGGGCGUAGCAAUACGUCAGCGGCAGACGGGUGAGUAACGCGUGGGAACGUACCUUUUGGUUCGGAACAACACAGGGAAACUUGUGCUAAUACCGAAUGUGCCCUUCGGGGAAAGGAUUAUCGCCAUUGGAGCGGCCCGCGUUGGAUUAGCUAGUUGGUGGGGUAAAGGCCCACCAAGGCUACGAUCCAUAGCUGGUCUGAGAGGAUGAUCAGCCACACUGGGACGUGAGACACGGCCCAGACUCCUACGGGAGGCAGCAGGUGGGGAAUAUUGGACAAUGGGCGCAAGCCUGAUCCAGCAAUGCCGCGUGUGUGAAGAAGGUCUUC
rnacentral:rRNA from 1 species